rnacentral:tRNA from 1 species
GGAAGGGUGGCCGAGUGGUUAAAGGCAGCAGACUGUAAAUCUGCCCGGGUUUCCCGUACACUGGUUCGAAUCCAGUCCCUUCCACCA